UAGAUCAGAAGCGAGAAUGUUGACAUGAGUAGCGACAAAGAGGGUGAGAGACCCUCUCGCCGAAAGUCCAAGGGUUCCUGCUUAAAGCUAAUCUGAGCAGGGUAAGCCGGCCCCUAAGGCGAGGCCGAAGGGCGUAGUCGAUGGGAACCAGGUUAAUAUUCCUGGGCCAGUGGGAUGUGACGGAUCUCGAAGAUUGUCUGCCCUUAUCGGAUUGGGUGGGCCGUUCAGAGGUUCCUGGAAAUAGCCCCACAUCAGACCGUACCCUAAACCGACACAGGUGGACUGGUAGAGUAUACCAAGGCGCUUGAGAGGACCACGUUAAAGGAACUUGGCAAAAUGCUCCCGUAAGUUCGCGAGAAGGGAGCCCCAUAUGUACGCAAGUAUGUGUGGGGGGCACAAACUAGGGGGUGGCGACUGUUUACUUAAAACACAGGGCUGUGCGAAGCCGUAAGGCGACGUAUACAGUCUGACGCCUGCCCGGUGCUGGAAGAUUAAGAGGAGGGGUGCAAGCUCUGAAUUGAAGUCCCAGUAAACGGCGGCCGUAACGAUAACGGUCCUAAGGUAGCGAAAUUCCUUGUCGGGUAAGUUCCGACCUGCACGAAUGGCGUAACGAUCUCCCCGCUGUCUCUAGCGUGGACUCAGCGAAAUUGAACUGUCUGUCAAGAUGCAGACUACCCGCGGUUAGACGGAAAGACCCCAUGAACCUUUACUCCAGCUUUGCACUGGUAUCAGGAUUGUGAUGUGCAGGAUAGGUGGUAGGCAUUGAAGCGGGGACGCCAGUCUUCGUGGAGCCUCCCUUGAGAUACCACCCUUCGCCAUCUUGAUAUCUAACCGCGGCCCGUUAUCCGGGUCCGGGACCCUGCAUGGUGGGGAGUUUGACUGGGGCGGUCGCCUCCCAAAUUGUAACGGAGGCGCGCGAUGGUUGGCUCAGACCGGUCGGAAAUCGGUCGUUGAGUGCAAUGGCAGAAGCCAGCCUGACUGCAAGACUGACAAGUCGAGCAGAGACGAAAGUCGGUCAUAGUGAUCCGGUGGUCCCAAGUGGGAGGGCCAUCGCUCAACGGAUAAAAGGUACUCUGGGGAUAACAGGCUGAUGAUGCCCAAGAGUCCAUAUCGACGGCAUCGCUUGGCACCUCGAUGUCGGCUCAUCUCAUCCUGGGGCUGGAGCAGGUCCCAAGGGUAUGGCUGUUCGCCAUUUAAAGAGGUACGUGAGCUGGGUUUAGAACGUCGUGAGACAGUUCGGUCCCUAUCUGCCGUGGGUGCAGGAGACUUGAGAAGAGUUGACCCUAGUACGAGAGGACCGGGUUGAACGAACCACUGGUGGACCAGUUAUCGUGCCAACGGUAGUGCUGGGUAGCUAUGUUCGGACAGGAUAACCGCUGAAGGCAUCUAAGCGGGAAGCCCCCUUCAAAACAAGGUCUCCCUUGAGGGCCGUGGAAGACCACCACGUCGAUAGGCCAGAGGUGUAAGUGCAGCAAUGCAUUCAGCUGACUGGUACUAAUUGCCC
rnacentral:rRNA from 1 species